rnacentral:rRNA from 1 species
AGGUCUUGACAUCCCGAUGCUAUUCUAGAGAUAGAAAGUUACUUCGGUACAUCGGUGACAGGUGGUGCAUGGUUGUCGUCAGCUCGUGUCGUGAGAUGUUGGUUAAGUCCCGCAACGAGCGCAACCCCUAUUGUUAGUUGCCAUCAUUCAGUUGGGCACUCUAGCGAGACUGCCGGUAAUAAACCGGAGGAAGGUGGGAUGACGUCAAAUCAUCAUGCCCCUUAUGACCUGGGCUACACACGUGCUACAAUGGUUGGUACAACGAGUUGCGAGUCGGUGACGGCGAGCUAAUCUCUUAAAGCCAAUCUCAGUUCGGAUUGUAGGCUGCAACUCGCCUACAUGAAGUCGGAAUCGCUAGUAAUCGCGGAUCAGCACGCCGCGGUCGAAUACGUUCCCGGGCCUU